rnacentral:misc_RNA from 1 species
GAUGAAGAACGCAGCGAAAUGCGAUACUUGGUGUGAAUUGCAGAAUCCCGUGAACCAUCGAGUCUUUGAACGCAAGUUGCGCCCGAAGCCAUUAGGCCGAGGGCACGCCUGCCUGGGCGUCACACGUCGUUGCCCCCCCAUCUACUCCUUCGGGAUUGCGGGGGGCGGAUGAUGGCCUCUCGUGCGCCUCGUCGCGCGGUUGGCCUAAAUGCCAAGUCCUCGGCGACGCACGCCACGACAAUCGGUGGUUGCGAAACCUCGGUUGCCUGUCGUGUGCGGUCGUCGCGCAUCGAGGGCUCGAAAAAAUUGCCGGGCUUCGGCUCGACUUUCAACGCGACCCCAGGUCAGGCGGGGUCACCCGCUGAAUUUAAGCAUAUCAAUAAGCGGAGGA